AUCGCUUCUCGGCCUUUUGGCUAAGAUCAAGUGUAGUAUCUGUUCUUAUCAGUUUAAUAUCUGAUACGUCCUCUGUCCGAGGACAAUAUAUUAAAUGGAUUUUU
rnacentral:snRNA from 1 species